UGAAAAAUAUAUUUUUGGAUAGACACAAGGAUAUCAGUUCAAAGACUAUAACCCUGAGUUGUAGAAAAAGUAGCUUGUACUAAGGCAGUAGGAGUGGUGGUGAUAAGAAAUAAUACAGUUAGGGAAUAUUUUUGAGCUAUAGCUAUUUGGAGGUACUGAUGACUUAGAUAUCAGAUGAAAAAAGAAUGUAUUUUUAAUAUAUAUUUUGUUUUCAUCCACAGUUCCUGACUUACAACUACUUCCCCAAGGCUGGCCAUGGAAAAAGAUUUUGUUUUCCCUAAGACAGGUCACAGAAACACUAAAAAAUUCAUCAUAAGGAAUUGGUUGACAUAUCCAUGGACAGGAGGUCCUAAGAACCUAUCAUCCAGAGGACUCCUGUCCCAUACACUAAAGGAAGGGAGGACAAAGAGUCUGAGCAGAAAGUCUUUGGCUAUUGAAAGACUUUUUACUGGGGAGACUACACUAGAGUGUUGA
rnacentral:lncRNA from 1 species